rnacentral:lncRNA from 1 species
GCGUGGAACCAGGAGUCUGCUUCUGAUUUGAUGUCUCUUAUCAAGCUGUUUAAUCUUUCUGUACCUUACAUUCAAGACGAAAAUACCCAUCUCAGGUUUUUUUGUGAUGAUUGAAUACAGUAAUGCAUGUGAAAGUGCCUGAUAAAUGAUGACGCAACUGAGGCCUAGAAAUAACUGCCAAUGUAACAAAUCCAGACCCUGGCAGGAUAUGCAUUUGAACCAAGGCUAUCCGGCUCCAAAAAAGAAUUAACUUUGCGGAAGGACUCUUACAUUCUCCAGUGAAACCUUUACUCUGGGAGCAAUUUGACUGAGUCAUAGCUGAGUUCAUUAAGCCUUAGUGCCUCAGGGAUGCAGCUGAGGACUCAAUGGCAGGUUUUCAGGGAUGUAAACCAUUGUGUGGACAAUAAAAUAGAGAACACUAAGGCUGUGGAAAUUUAUCUCCCUGUGAAGCUUGCCUUUUGGCUUUUUCCGAAGGAGAAUAUCCCCAGUUCACUUGUAGCACUGCUCAGUAUCCAGGAGGGCUUGUUAUGUAAUCCCAUCCUGUUUGAAGCUUCUUGAGCUUCAGUAAUCUCAGUUCCCUGUGAAGCACCAGACACAGGAGGACUAUUUUAUAUCAGCUUUAAAAAUACGGGAAAAAUAUUGGAUGCAUAUUCCUUGAACUUAGAAACUAUGAGUCUAAGGUCAUAGCUGGGGAGAGAUUGAUCUGAUUAUAAUAAGAUCUGUGACUUAGUAGUGGAGGAGUUGGUUCUAACCUGGCAAGGCACAACCCACCCACAUGAUCUUCUGUAAAUCUUCUAGGGUAGCGUCAACCAGCAACCUUUGCCAGUGUAUGAUAGCUAAGGGUUUGCUUUUUAGACUUUAUUAAAAGUCCAGCUAGAGAAAUAAUUCUGAAAAUAAUUUGCAAUACAUUGUUCAUUUACUUCUGGGAUCUAAGUUUUAUUGUGGGCUUAGGUCAGUCCACUAGGAGACAACAUUUUUGCCAAUUUGCCAGAUUGCCUUUAUGUGAUUGUGUUUUACUUAUCCUCAGAGUUUAAGAUGUCAGACCUGGGAUCCAGCCCCAACUCUGUCAAUUAUGGGCUGUGGGAUGUUGGGAGAGCGGCUUAAUCAAUUUAAGCUUCCAUUUCUGAAUUUGGAAAAUGUGAUAGUAAAUACUUCAUAGAGCUUUUGUAAGAUUUUAAUGGUCUAGCUCAUGCAAAAAAAAAAAAAAAAAAAAAAGGCCCUGUAGCUUAAAAAUAGUUUGUGGCUUAAAAUUUGUAGCUUUUAAAAAAAGCCAUAUGAAAUUCAUUUUGGUGUAUUUGCUGUAAAAUCUGUUGUAAAAAUCUGUUGUUGAGGUAAUUGCCAAUUUUCAAUGUAUCCUAUAAAGAAUUCCAUUUAGGUUUUACAACCAAGUUAAGAAGAACUCUGCUUCUCUGAGAAAAUGGCAUUUUCUCCCUCCAGUAAUAAGAGUGUGCUAAUUUCCCAUGUUUCCCUUUUUGUUCUGGAGGCAGAGAAACUCAGGAUAAUAUUUGUACUUCAUGUAUAUCAGCUUGCCUGUUUGGAUUAUCCACUUUCUUCUCUUCUUUUUUGUGGUUGUGAUUUUAAAAUUUCUAUUUGACUACCAUCAUUGUAUAAAUGUCUUAUUUUAAGCCAUCUUGAAUGUUUUUGGACAGAGGAGCUGAACUAAGUAAAAA